UACGUAGGGGGCAAGCGUUGUCCGGAAUUAUUGGGCGUAAAGAGCUCGUAGGCGGUCAGUCGCGUCUGCUGUGAAAACUCGGGGCUUAACUCCGGGCCUGCAGUGGGUACGGGCUGACUAGAGUGCGGUAGGGGAGACUGGAAUUCCUGGUGUAGCGGUGAAAUGCGCAGAGUAUCAGGAGGAACACCGAUGGCGAAGGCAGGUCUCUGGGCCAUAACUGACGCUGAGAAGCGAAAGCAUGGGGAGCGAACAGG
rnacentral:rRNA from 1 species